rnacentral:lncRNA from 1 species
UCCCACUCUUGCCGGCUCCCCUUCCUCUCCUUCCGAGAAUCUCUGUGCUGGCGUAGUCACAUGUUUAGGCUUUGAUGCCUUUAAUCCCACCCUCACCGCCCGAGAGGGAGGAGAAGAAUUUGCGGGAGAGAAGUGAGCAACAAGCGGAGCGGCAAGAUAGAGCGGAAAGGGGAGCGCGGCUGCAUGGACCGCCCGGCCCGCCGGGGGCGGAGAGCCGGCAGAAGGGGAGCGGAGGGGCCGCAUCAGCGGGGAGCGCGGCUCUGCCGCGGGCUGCGGGACGCCUCCCGGUGCGCGGGGCGAGGCUGCCGAGCAGGAAAGGUUUGGCGGCUGGCUCAGCGACAGUGCCAACAGUGCUGCUUGCAUCAAGAGGAGGCUCAAAAGUAUGCCGGUGCUUGGACAAAUUGUGCAGGUUUGGCAGCCACUACCCCAGUGAUACCUCGCAAUCCAGGGAGGAUGCAUCAGAAUUGAAUGAAUGAGGGCAUGAAUAGAGCAGGGGU